rnacentral:rRNA from 1 species
UACGGAGGGGGCUAGCGUUGUUCGGAAUUACUGGGCGUAAAGCGCACGUAGGCGGCUUUGUAAGUUAGAGGUGAAAGCCCAGGGCUUAACCCUGGAAUUGCCUUUAAGACUGCAUCGCUAGAAUCGUGGAGAGGUAAGUGGAAUUCCGAGUGUAGAGGUGAAAUUCGUAGAUAUUCGGAAGAACACCAGUGGCGAAGGCGGCUCACUGGCCCGGUACUGACGCUGAGGUGCGAAAGCGUGGGGAGCAAACAGG